rnacentral:rRNA from 1 species
AUCCAGACUCCUACGGGAGGCAGCAGUGGGGAAUAUUGCACAAUGGGGGAAACCCUGAUGCAGCGACGCCGCGUGAGCGAUGAAGUAUUUCGGUAUGUAAAGCUCUAUCAGCAGGGAAGAAAAUGACGGUACCUGACUAAGAAGCCCCGGCUAACUACGUGCCAGCAGCCGCGGUAAUACGUAGGGGGCAAGCGUUAUCCGGAUUUACUGGGUGUAAAGGGAGCGUAGACGGCUGUGCAAGCCAGAUGUGAAAGCCCGGGGCUCAACCCCGGGACUGCAUUUGGAGCUGUGUAGCUGGAGUGUCGGAGAGGCAGGCGGAAUUCCUAGUGUAGCGGUGAAAUGCGUAGAUAUUAGGAGGAACACCAGUGGCGAAGGCGGCCUGCUGGACGAUGACUGACGUUGAGGCUCGAAAGCGUGGGGAGCAAACAGGAUUAGAUACCCCAGUA